CGCCUACGGGGGGCAGCAGUGAGGAAUAUUGGUCAAUGGGCGGGAGCCUGAACCAGCCAAGUCGCGUGAGGGAAGACGGUCCUACGGAUUGUAAACCUCUUUUGCCGGGGAGCAACGGGGUCCUUGCGAGGGCCCGAUGAGAGUACCCGGAGAAAAAGCAUCGGCUAACUCCGUGCCAGCAGCCGCGGUAAUACGGAGGAUGCGAGCGUUAUCCGGAUUUAUUGGGUUUAAAGGGUGCGUAGGCGGUCCAGAAAGUCAGCGGUAAAAGCCCGGGGCUCAACCCCGGCGAGCCGUUGAAACUGUCG
rnacentral:rRNA from 1 species